UGAGGCGGCCAGAGCGAUGGGGUGACACCCGUACCCAUCCCGAACACGGAAGUUAAGCCCAUCUGCGUACCGGGGAGUACUGGAGUGCGCGAGCCUCUGGGAAACGCGGUUCGCUGCCUCGC
rnacentral:rRNA from 1 species